AAGCUCGUAGUUGAAUUUCGGGAUUAGUACGCUGGUCGUGCCUUCGGUACGUACUGGUGUUACUGAUUCCUACCUUCUGACGAACCAUCAUGUCAUUCAUUUGGUGUGGUGGGGAAUCAGGACUGUUACUUUGAAAAAAUUAGAGUGUUUAAAGCAGGCUCGCGCUUGAAUACAUUAGCAUGGAAUAAUGAAAUAGGACGUUUGACCCUAUUUUGUUGGUUUCUAGGAUCGACGUAAUGAUUAAUAGGGAUAGUUGGG
rnacentral:rRNA from 1 species